GGUUUUAACCCAGUUACCAAGGUAAUUCGGAGUUUCGAUCUUUCGAAAGAGAGUGUCGAUUGUGAACAAUUUUUGGAAUAGCUCUUCCGGGGAAUCCGGUCGGGCAAU
rnacentral:sRNA from 15 species